rnacentral:rRNA from 1 species
AUUGAACGCUGGCGGCAUGCCUUACACAUGCAAGUCGAACGGUAACGGGCCUUCGGGUGCCGACGAGUGGCGAACGGGUGAGUAAUGCAUCGGAACGUACCAUUGAGUGGGGGAUAACUAUCCGAAAGGAUAGCUAAUACCGCAUAUUCUCUCCGGAGGAAAGCAGGGGAUCGCAAGACCUUGCGCUCUUUGAGCGGCCGAUGUCAGAUUAGCUAGUUGGUGGGGUAAAAGCCCACCAAGGCGACGAUCUGUAGCGGGUCUGAGAGGAUGAUCCGCCGACCUGGGACUGAGAAACGGCCCAGACUCCUACAGUAGGCAGCAGUGGGGAAUUUUGGACAAUGGGGGCAACCCUGAUCCAGCCAUGCCGCGUGAGUGAAGAAGGCCUUCGGGUUGUAAAGCUCUUUCGGCCGGGAAGAAAUCGGAGUGGCUAAUACCUGCUCUGGAUGACGGUACCGGACUAAGAAGCACCGGCUAACUACGUGCCAGCCGCCGCAGUAAGAC